rnacentral:rRNA from 1 species
UACGUAGGGUGCAAGCGUUGUCCGGAAUUAUUGGGCGUAAAGAGCUCGUAGGCGGUUUGUCGCGUCGAAUGUGAAAACCCGGGGCUCAACCCCGGGCCUGCAUUCGAUACGGGCAGACUAGAGUUCGGUAGGGGAGUCUGGAAUUCCUGGUGUAGCGGUGAAAUGCGCAGAUAUCAGGAGGAACACCGGUGGCGAAGGCGGGACUCUGGGCCGAUACUGACUCUGAGGAGCGAAAGCGUGGGGAGCAAACAGG